AUGUCUAUGCGCUAUGUUUCAGAGCAAAGAGACCUGCACCCCUCAUGAAUACAGCACUUCCUGCAUUCUGUAGCACCGAAUCCAUGAUUUUCUUUUCAUCUGUGUGAGGUGCAGAGCACAGCCAGACCUGGGUCAAAAAUUCUUCCUGAAUGAAAUGCGCAGGGCACUUCAACAAAACUAUAAUUUUACUCAUGGCAAAAGUGAUCAGUGGCAGAAAUAAUGGUGUUUGAAGCCUGCUCGAAUGAAGAAAUGAAAAGAUGACAAACCAGCUCUGCAUCACUUUAUUAUACUAAACUUACAAGUAAAGGUUUAUGGUUUAACUGGGUAAUAACAUGAAAUGUGUUGAAAAAUGUUCAUGUAUCAAAUAUGACUUGCUUGUUCCUGAAAUAAAAGAGAAAUAUUUUAUUAUUGCA